CGCCCACAGGGGCGGGGCGGGAGGAUUGGCUGCGCUGCCGCUGAGCAGCGGAUCGUUUAUCGCUGCUUUACGCGCUCGGAGAGCCUCGCGGUCGCGUACCGCGGUUGCAUUACUGAAGAUCGGUUCGUGCAACUUACGUAUCUGCCCAGUGCAAUAAGUAGCCAUUAAUGCUCAGCUACUAAAAUUAUUGUGAUACUAAAUCCUGCUAGUUUUCUGCAUUAGCAAACCUCGAGGUUCACCAGGAUUUGCCCCCAUUCUCUGUGCGGUGCUGGAGGCAGCGCUCUGCUGCCAGCUGUGCCAACUCCAGCACUGCGUCCCAAAAAGGGCAUCGUUCUGCUCUAUAGGAACGAAACAGACGCAGAAGAGCUCCUCACCCCGCCCAGUGCUCACCUGUUGGGCAGCACUGCUUUAAGCUGUGACAGAAGACCUAAGCAGAACUACUGCCAAGGGCUGGUCAGGUAUUUACAGACAUGCAGUGUCAUCACCCGAUGGAACUUUCAGAGUAUUUUACAACUUAAAAAAAACACUGCAUGUCACCUUGGCUUGGAAAUUAAUUUCCACUGAGCAAAGCUGCAGCUAGGCUGAACCUGUGUUUUUGAGGACUACUGGGUUUUUAACACUUCUGUGUUGUCAUUUUGGCAAAACCUGCACUGGAAGCUUUGAGAGGAUUGUUACCCAGCACCAGAGAUCUAAACCAGUUCUUUUUUGAUGUAAGAGCAGCCAAAACACAACAACAAAAGCUUCUGUUGGCGGUGAGGCCGCAGGGCAGCAGGGCAGCUGGCAUUGCACGCUUUCUCUUCAGCUGCAGGUGUUGAAUGGGGCUGCUGCAGCACAGCGCUGUGCAGAGCUGGAGGAGCUGCUCCCUGCUGUGUGUUCUGUGCCCAGGCUGAAGGCUGCACACCAGAAUGCAGGAGCAGAAGGGGCCGAAGAUCUGGAGGCUGCGUUGCUGCCUGCAGUGAAUCCCAAAGGCCGCAGACCCAGAGGCAGGCAGACUUUGGACCGUUCCAGUUAGAAGCAGGAAGAGACUAGGCGGUGUUAACAAGCAGCUUCUGUAGCAGAACACAUUAUUUUGUGGUUUCAUAUGGCCACUAAAGGGAAAUGUCACCUUUUUAAACUAGAACAGAUAGUUGAAAAAAAGGCAGACACUUUGUAUGGGGAAAUUUUCUUUGUUUUUAAUUUACAGCAGAAAGAAUAUAAAGCAUUCAGAAAACAUUUUCCAUAUUUUAAGGGCAAUUCAAAACAUUUUGCAUGGUUCCAGCAGCUGAGUUCUUCAACAGAUCCAUUGAUUCAGUGAUGCUUUACAUGCACGGUUACAAAAAUAAAACUUACAAAAGAGAAGACAUCUAUACUAGUUUUACAUGCAAGUCUUGGGGACCCCCCAUUGGGCACCAGCUAUUGUGUGGAACUGCCAUAAGCGUGCAACCAGAGAGGGGGUUCAUGUUAUAUUUUGUAUUUCUUUCACACAGUAUUACUGCUGUCAAAUGCGUUUCACAAAGGAGCAAUUCCAUGAUCAGAAGACAGAAGGUUUGGCUCCUGGCACUUGGGAAUCUGAACUUUCCCGGGAAGCUGCACUGAGUUUAUCUUCUGUGAAAACAGGAGUUCCACAACGGAGAGAAGGUUGGUGGCCGGGAUCGAGCCAGAACGAUUCCUCCCAUAGGAACAAUCCCAAAGUGACAUCAGGCCGCUCAGAGACCUGCCGCUGCUGCUAGCAAAACAGACACAGAGGAGCAGCUUCUGACCUCAGACAGACGAACGGAACACAUUAACGGCGGCCUCGGAGCUGCUUCCCUUACAUUCCUGGGUAGCCGAGAUCAGAACCUGCUUCCCAUCGUUGAGAAUUUGUGACAGUUUUAAAUUAGUACUUCAAUUCAAAAAAACAACAACAACACUAAUUUCUUUGGCUCCUCACUAUGUGGAAAUAGCAAUAUACCAUGACACCCCUACGAGAUCAGUUUGCAUCUUUUUUUUGUUGUUUUACUUAGUUUUUUUUUUUAAUUUUUUGUGCAAUUUUUAUUACAUUUUCUGACUUCCAGCAGGAGAUAUGAAAAUGUGAAAGAUAUUUUCUACUUUCAUACUAUUUCUUUUUUUUUUUUUUCUUCAUUUUAUAUUCAUUCUAAGUGUUCUUUAUUGGAGUGAGUGUAUGGUGUUAAGCUAGAUACAUUUCUGUACUUUUAUGAUUAUCUGCUUUGCAAAAGUAACGUAAGUUUCUGAAGCAAUAUUAGCAUUCACAUUACUUGGCACCAUUGGCAAAAAAAAAUAAAUAAAUAAAAAGGAAAAAAAAGACGGGGGGGCAAAAAGAA